AAUAUUGGACAAUGGGCGAAAGCCUGAUCCAGCCAUGCCGCGUGUGUGAAGAAGGUAUUUGGAUUCUAUAGCACUGUAAGAUGGGAGGAAGGGGUUGAAGCUAAUACCUUCAACAUUUUACGUUACCAACAGAAAAAGCUCCGGCUAACCUUGUGCCAGCAGCCGCGGUAAUACAGAGGGUGCAAGCGUUAAUCGGAAUUAGUGGGCGUAAAGCGCGCGUAGGUGGUUCAGUAAGAUGGAAGUGAAAUCCCCGGGCUUAACCUGGGAACUGCUUUCAUAACUGCUGAGCUAGAGUACGGUAGAGGGUAGUGGAAUUUCCUGUGUAGCGGUGAAAUGCGUAGAUAUAGGAAGGAACAUCAGUGGCGAAGGCGACUACCUGGACUGAUACUGACACUGAGGUGCGAAAGCGUGGGGAGCAAACAGG
rnacentral:rRNA from 1 species